rnacentral:pre_miRNA from 1 species
AUGAGCCGCCGGAUCUCCAAGUAAGGAGGCCAGGGCCGCCGGAUUCGGUGACCCCAGUCUCCUCGCUAGCGGAUCUGGCGCCCAGA